UACGUAGGUGGCGAGCGUUGUCCGGAUUUACUGGGCGUAAAGGAUGCGUAGGUGGAUAUUUAAGUCAGAUGUGAAAUACCCGAGCUUAACUUGGGUGCUGCAUUUGAAACUGGAUAUCUAGAGUACAGGAGAGGUAAGUGGAAUUCCUAGUGUAGCGGUGAAAUGCGUAGAGAUUAGGAAGAACACCAGUGGCGAAGGCGACUUACUGGACUGUAACUGACACUGAGGCAUGAAAGCGUGGGUAGCAAACAGGAUUAGAUACCCUGGUAGUCCACGCCGUAAACGAUGAGUACUAGGUGUAGGGGGGUCCAACCUUCUGUGCCGCAGUUAACACAAUAAGUACUCCGCCUGGGAAGUACGAUCGCAAGAUUAAAACUCAAAGGAAUUGACGGGGGCCCGCACAAGCAGCGGAGCAUGUGGUUUAAUUCGAAGCAACGCGAAGAACCUUACCUGGACUUGACAUCCCCUGAAUAGUGCAGAGAUGCAUGAAGCCCUUCGGGGCAGGGAGACAGGUGGUGCAUGGUUGUCGUCAGCUCGUGUCGUGAGAUGUUAGGUUAAGUCCUGCAACGAGCGCAACCCUUAUCAUUAGUUGCUACCAUUAAGUUGAGCACUCUAGUGAGACUGCCCGGGUUAACCGGGAGGAAGGUGGGGAUGACGUCAAAUCAUCAUGCCCCUUAUGUCCAGGGCUACACACGUGCUACAAUGGUGAGUACAGAGAGAUGCAAGACCGUGAGGUGGAGCCAAACUCAAAAACUCAUCCCAGUUCGGAUUGUAGGCUGCAACUCGCCUACAUGAAGCCGGAGUUGCUAGUAAUCGCGAAUCAGAAUGUCGCGGUGAAUACGUUCCCGGGCCUUGUACACACCGCCCGUCACACCAUGAGAGCUGGCAAUACCCGAAGUCCGUGAGGUAACCUGUAAAGGAGCCAGCGGCCGAAGGUAGGGUUAGUGAUUGGGGUG
rnacentral:rRNA from 1 species